AGUAAAAUCAGCUAAUUAAGCUUUUGGGCCCAUACCCCGGAAAUGUUGGUUAAAAUCCUUCUUUUACUA
rnacentral:tRNA from 1 species